rnacentral:rRNA from 1 species
ACGAACGCUGGCGGCGUGCUUAACACAUGCAAGUCGCACGGAAAGGCCCUGCUUUUGUGGGGUGCUCGAGUGGCGAACGGGUGAGUAACACGUGAGUAACCUGCCCUUGACUUUGGGAUAACUUCAGGAAACUGGGGCUAAUACCGGAUAGGAGCUCCUGCUGCAUGGUGGGGGUUGGAAAGUUUCGGCGGUUGGGGAUGGACUCGCGGCUUAUCAGCUUGUUGGUGGGGUAGUGGCUUACCGAGGCUUUGACGGGUAGCCGGCCUGAGAGGGUGACCGGCCACAUUGGGACUGAGAUACGGCCCAGACUCCUACGGGAGGCAGCAGUGGGGAAUAUUGCACAAUGGGCGGAAGCCUGAUGCAGCAACGCCGCGUGCGGGAUGACGGCCUUCGGGUUGUAAACCGCUUUCGCCUGUGACGAAGCGUGAGUGACGGUAAUGGGUAAAGAAGCACCGGCCAACUACGUG